ACCCAUUGGUGAGGGCAUCUUCGCAAAAGGUCUUUGUAUAUCUCCCAUGCAUCGUAGAGUGUUUUGAAAUCCAUCUGUACAAAAGAGGAGAUAUCAUUACAUAAUUU
rfam:Gossypium arboreum cultivar AKA8401 contig_53863_3, whole genome shotgun sequence.